rnacentral:misc_RNA from 1 species
UCUCCGUUGGUGAACCAGCGGAGGGAUCAUUACAGCGUCGCGGCGUCGACCCCCAAGGGGGGAGGCUGCCUGCACCUGCACACUUGCCGUCGUUACCGCCGUCCGGGCCGUGUUGCCUCGGCGCGGCUCGCGCCCCGCUUCGGGGCCGGGCCCGCCGAAGGGACCGCCCACAACACUCUGUAUUUUCCAUGGACCCUCUGAGAACACUAUUAAAUAAGUCAAAACUUUCAACAACGGAUCUCUUGGUUCUGGCAUCGAUGAAGAACGCAGC